ensembl:snRNA U6 U6 spliceosomal RNA
GUCCUCCCUCCGGCAGCACAGAUACUAAAAUUGGAACAAUGCAAAGAAGAUUAGCACAGAUGACACGCAAAUUCGUGAAGCUUCCACAUUUUUA